UAAUACUGGAUAGAUCAAAGAUACUGGAAUGUUCCUUGAUCCAAAGCUCCGGCGUCCAAGGAUGGAUCUGCGGCCUAUCAGGUAGUAGUGGGUGUAACGUACCUACUAGCCUACGACGGGUACGGGUUGUGAGAGCAAGAGCCCGGAGAUGGAUUCUGAGACAUGAAUCCAGGCCCUACGGGGCGCAGCAGGCGCGAAAUCUUUACAAUGCAGGAAACUGCGAUAAGGGGACCCCGAGUGCCAGCAUCUAAUGCUGGCUGUCCAGCUGUGUAAAUAGCAGUUGUUAGCAAGGGCCGGGCAAGACCGGUGCCAGCCGCCGCGGUAACACCGGCGGCCCGAGUGGUAACCGAUUUUAUUGGGUUUAAAGGGUCCGUAGCCGGCCUGUUAAGUCUCUUGGGAAAUCUGGCGGCUCAAUCGUCAGGCGUCC
rnacentral:rRNA from 1 species